rnacentral:rRNA from 1 species
GACGAACGCUGGCGGCGUGCUUAACACAUGCAAGUCGAACGAUGAAGCUAGAGCUUGCUCUGGUGAAUUAGUGGCGAACGGGUGAGUAACACGUGAGUAGCCUGCCCCGAACUCUGGGAUAACUGCUGGAAACGGUAGCUAAUACUGGAUACGACCUACGAAGGCAUCUUCUGUAGGUGGAAAGAAUUUCGGUUCGGGAUGGACUCGCGGCCUAUCAGCUUGUUGGUGAGGUAAUGGCUCACCAAGGCGACGACGGGUAGCCGGCCUGAGAGGGUGCCCGGCCACACUGGGACUGAGACACGGCCCAGACGCCUACGGGAGGCAGCAGUGGGGAAUAUUGCACAAUGGGCGCAAGCCUGAUGCAGCAACGCCGCGUGAGGGAUGACGGCCUUCGGGUUGUAAACCUCUUUUAGUAGGGAAGAAGCGAAGGUGACGGUACCUGCAGAAAAAGCACCGGCUAACUACGUGCCAGCCGCCGCCGUAA